UUAUACGUCGUAUAAUUGGAAUGAGUACAAUUUACUUCCCUUAACGAGGAACAAUUGGAGGGCAAGUCUGGUGCCAGCAGCCGCGGUAAUUCCAGCUCCAAUAGCGUAUAUUAAAGUUGUUGCAGUUAAAAAGCUCGUAGUUGGACCUUGGACCUGGACAGGCGGUCCGCCUCACGGCGAGUACUGUCUUGCUGGGUCUUUCCUCUUGGUGAUCUGUUGUUUCGGCAGCAGGGAACCAGGACCUUUACUUUGAAAAAAUUAGAGUGUUCAAAGCAGGCUCGACGCCGGAAUAUAUUAGCAUGGAAUAAUAAAAUAGGACGUGCGGUUCUAUUUUGUUGGUUUUUGGAAUCGCCGUAAUGAUUAAUAGGGACAGUCGGGGGCAUUAGUACUCACAUGCUAGAGGUGAAAUUCUUGGAUUUUGUGAAGACUAACUUCUGCGAAAGCAUUUGCCAAGGAUGUUUUCAUUAAUCAAGAACGAAGGUUAGGGUAUCGAAAACGAUUAGAUACCGUUGUAGUCUUAACAGUAAACUAUGCCGACUAGGGAUCGGUCGAUGUUAUCUUUUUGACUCGAUCGGCACCUUACGAGAAAUCAAAGUUUUUGGGUUCUGGGGGGAGUAUGGUCGCAAGGCUGAAACUUAAAGAAAUUGA
rnacentral:rRNA from 1 species